GGGCCCGCACAAGCAGUGGAGUAUGUGGUUUAAUUCGAAGCAACGCGAAGAACCUUACCAGGUCUUGACAUCCUACUAACGAAGCAGAGAUGCAUUAGGUGCCCUUCGGGGAAAGUAGAGACAGGUGGUGCAUGGUUGUCGUCAGCUCGUGUCGUGAGAUGUUGGGUUAAGUCCCGCAACGAGCGCAACCCUUAUUGUUAGUUGCUACGCAAGAGCACUCUAACGAGACUGCCGUUGACAAAACGGAGGAAGGUGGGGAUGAUGUCAAAUCAUCAUGCCCUUUAUGACCUGGGCUACACACGUACUACAAUGGCGAUCAACAGAGGGUCGCGAAGGCGUGAGCCGGAGCCAAUCCCCAAAAGUCGUACUCAGUUCGGAUUGCAGGCUGCAACCCGCCUGCAUGAAGUCGGAAUUGCUAGUAAUCGCGGAUCAGCAUGCCG
rnacentral:rRNA from 1 species